GUCGAGAAUCUUCGGCAAUGGGCGCAAGCCUGACCGAGCGACGCCGCGUGGAGGAUGAAGGCCUUCGGGUUGUAAACUCCUGUCGAGGGGGAGGAAGUCCCGACUUGUCGGGAUUGACCGAUCCCUGGAGGAAGCACGGGCUAAGUUCGUGCCAGCAGCCGCGGUAAGACGAACCGUGCGAACGUUAUUCGGAAUCACUGGGCUUAAAGCGCGUGUAGGCGGAUGGGAACGUCGGUAGUUGAAAGCCCCCGGCUCAACCGGGGAAGUGGUGCCGAAACGACCCGUCUGGAGGGACGUAGGGGGACCUGGAACUUCCGGUGGAGCGGUGAAAUGCGUUGAGAUCGGAAGGAACGCCCGUGGCGAAAGCGAGGUCCUGGACGUCUACUGACGCUGAGACGCGAAAGCUAGGGGAGCAAACGGGAUUAGAAACCCCGGUAGUCC
rnacentral:rRNA from 1 species